AACGAACGCUGGCGGCAUGCCUAACACAUGCAAGUCGAACGAGACCUUCGGGUCUAGUGGCGUACGGGUGCGUAACGCGUGGGAACCUGCCCUUAGGUUCGGAAUAACUCCCCGAAAGGGGUGCUAAUACCGGAUAAUGUCUUCGGACCAAAGAUUUAUCGCCUUUGGAUGGGCCCGCGUUGGAUUAGCUAGUUGGUAGGGUAAAAGCCUACCAAGGCGACGAUCCAUAGCUGGUCUGAUAGGAUGAUCAGCCACACUGGGACUGAGACACGGCCCAGACUCCUACGGGAGGCAGCAGUGGGGAAUAUUGGACAAUGGGCGAAAGCCUGAUCCAGCAAUGCCGCGUGAGUGAUGAAGGCCUUAGGGUUGUAAAGCUCUUUUACCCGGGAUGAUAAUGACAGUACCGGGAGAAUAAGCUCCGGCUAACUCCGUG
rnacentral:rRNA from 1 species